rnacentral:rRNA from 1 species
UACAGGGGGGGCAAGCGUUGUUCGGAAUUACUGGGCGUAAAGGGCCAGUAGGCGGCCAACUAAGUCACACGUGAAAUCCCCAGGCUUAACCUGGGAACUGCGUGUGAUACUGGAUGGCUUGAAUUCGGGAGAGGGACGCAGAAUUCCAGGUGUAGCGGUGAAAUGCGCAGAUAUCGGGAGGAACACCAGUAGCGAAGGCGGCACUCUGGGCCGGAACUGACGCUGAGGAGCGAAAGCGUGGGGAGCAAACAGG